UGUCUCCUACGGGGCGCAGCAGUGGGGAAUAUUGGUCAAUGGGCGCAGGCCUGAACCAGCCAAGUUGCGUGAGGGAAGACUGCCCUAUGGGUUGUAAACCUCUUUUAUAAGGGAAGAAUAAUGACUACGUGUAGUCAGAUGCCCGUACCUUAUGAAUAAGCAUUGGCUAACUCCGUGCCAGCAGCCGCGGUAAUACGGAGGAUGCGAGCGUUAUCCGGAUUUAUUGGGUUUAAAGGGUGCGUAGGCGGUAUUUUAAGUUAGUGGUAAAACGUCGGGGCUUCACCUUGAUUGGCCAU
rnacentral:rRNA from 1 species